ensembl:lncRNA
CUCUGCUGUGUCUGUCCCUUGUUGUCAGUAGAUUUCGCGUUGUCAUUGUGCUGUGUGUCUGUUUCCUCACCUUUACCGCUGUUGUGCUCAGGACGUCUAGACGAGGAGUCUUUCGUUGGCCGUGUGCCCGAGAUCCUCUGUCUCGCUUUCCACGUCCCGUUGGGCAUUGCACCAGAGGUGGUCUCCACAGCCUGUGUCCGCAGGUGUCUGUACGGACGGCUCUGGAGUUGUUACACCAGGCUUCAGUUUGUGUGUGUGACAUUCACACGUUGGAUUAUUUUGGUAUUUUUUGUUGUACCCAAUAAACUGUUGCACGAAUCCUCUGCGUUUGAGUUCUCUCUCUUCGCGUUCCUGACAGGUUUAUUGGUGACAUGUUUUACUCAGCAUGUUCUAUGAUAAGGACAGAUGGGAACAGGGGUCAGGUGUGCAUAGUGACUUUAUCUGAGCUAUUUUGAUUUUUUGAUGCUUGCAUUUGAAAGAAAAAAAAUGUGUAUAUAUAUACAGUACAGACCAAAAGUUUGGAAACAUUACUAUUUUUAAUGUUUUUGAAAGAAGUUUCUUCUGCUCAUCAAGCCUGCAUUUAUUUGAUCAAAAAUACAGAAAAAACAGUAAUAUUGUGAAAUAUUAUAACAACUUAAAAUAAUAGUUUUCUAUUUGAAUAUACUUUAAAAAAAUAAUUUAUUCCUGUGAUGCAAAGCUGAAUUUUCAGCAUCAUUACUCCAGCCUUCAGUGUCACAUG